CCGGCUUAACUCCAGCUAGGGGCCUGAGCCAUGAAAAACGAUAAGGGGGAACUUGGCAGGAAGCUGGGACACAGAGCACGCCCCCACCCCUGGAGGCUCCACCCCCAAAGUCACGAGGGGGCCAUUGACCAGCAGGCAUAGACUUCACCUUCUCUGGCCCCCGGCCCUUCCCGGCCUGGACAGGAGCGGACCGAAGGGGCUUGGCGUGUACCAAACAGGCUGUGCCGGGAGUCCAAGAAGCAGCCUUAGGAAAGAGAGACUUCUGAAUACCUUUGCAGAUGGAAUGUUCUAUUGUCAAAGAUGCUCUUCAGUUCCUUCUAGAGCAACGUCACUUCUGCAUGGAGCACUAAGUGGGAAACUGAGCAAGGACAGAACGCAGUCAAGAAGCAAACUUGAAGUCGACAUUAUUGCUCUAGGGGAACAUGGGGUAAUGAUGCCUCCACGGCUGGCUUGUUUAGAGACGCCGGCACCCAGAAAAGGCUCAAGACUCAGAAUCUGUUGCGACAGGAGAGGCACCGCUUCAGCUGAGCGAGAACUCAAGCCCUCACAUCUCUACGCGAUGUCACCGAACGCCCUUGGGACAUCUUCUAAGAGGGUCCAUCCGUCCACCCACCUACCCACCCAUCCAUUCAUCGAUCCUUCCAUCCUUCCAUCCUUGCAUCCAUUCAGCAACAAACACUGGUCACCGUCUCUGAGCCAGGCCCUAUCCAGGGGCACCAUGCUGAGCCCGUACCAAGCCUCCACCGGAUGGAGGUUACAUUCUAGUGAUGGGAAAGAGGUAAUCCAUGUGGGAAGCUCAGGUCGGAGUCCGUGCCAUACAGAAAGACGUAGCAGACGUAGGAAGAGGAGGACGCCCUGUUUUCAAGGGGUUUGCAUGCUAAUGACAGUAAAUGGACAACGACCCAUGAGCAGAUCAAAUACGCGUGGGUGUGCACGUGCGCAUGUGUGUGCACACGUGUGUACGUGUGAGUGAAUAAAUAGGGUGCCCUCACAGAGAAUAAUGGGAAUGUCACUUAGAUGGAAGUGACAGACCAAGGACUGAUGGACGGAGAAGGAGUAAUGGAGAGAGAGUGUCCAGGCAAGGGGAAGCCCCUGCAGUGGGGAGAGGGACAGAGAUGCUGCAGA